rfam:Streptomyces aurantiacus JA 4570 Seq141, whole genome shotgun sequence.
GCGCCGCCCCGAGCGGCGUCCGUCCCGACGGGGCCUGAAGACCGGGGGUGGUGCCGUGUCGGCGCAGCACCACCCCCGUGAC